GAAAGAUGAGAGAAAAUCGGCUCCGGUGAUUUGGACAUGUGCAAAGAAGGCCGACUGACGCUCCGGUUCGAAGAUGUGAUUACGGGACAGAGGUUCAGGGCCGAAGGGGUAGAGGAAGACCUAGGAAAACUUUGGAAGAGACUCUAAGAAAAGACUUAGAGUACUUGGAUCUAACGGAGGACAUGACACAAAACCGAGCGCAAUGGCGUUCUAGGAUUCAUAUAGCCCACCCCACUUAGUGGGAAAAGGCUUUGUUGUUGUUGUUGUUGUUGUUGAGAAUAGAUACUGUGGAAGACCUAGGAAAACUUUGGAAGAGACCCUAAGAAAAGACUUGAGUACUUGGAUCUAACGGAGGACAUGACACAAAACCGAGCGCAAUGGCAUUCUAGGAUUCAUAUAGCCGACCCCACUUAGUGGGAAAAGGCUUUGUUGUUGUUGUUGUUGUUGUUGAGAAUAGAUACUGUAGAAUUGUUUUCUAUCUUUGGACAUAACAGGUUAGGAAGAAUACAUCAAAUGAAUUGAUAGCAGAGAAUGAUAAUAAUAGCUUUUCUUGUUCCUUCUGUGCUCUAGUUGAUUUAUGUUUUAACUUUGUGAUAUUAUGUUCACUCAAUUUAUAGGUGGAAAAGAGGAGGCUGUUUCAUGUUUUUCUUAAGCAGUUUCUGGUUGUAUUCAAGAAUUGGGAACCAGUAAAUACAGGCCAAAUGUCAGAGGCUUCUUCAAGUACCAUUCAAUAUACAGAAUAUUCAUCACAUUCGGAUGAUGUAGUUAUUGGCUGCUUUGCUGGACAUCCUGCAGAAGUCAUUUUAGUAUUGACUGAAGAGAUUACACAAUUAACUUCUAUGGUUGCUGAGUGUAAGUUGAAAUUCAUGCUUGCUUUUUAGCAAUUGGCAAUUUACUUUGGUGUGCUGUAUUAAAUUUUUUUGCAAAACAUAUUUUCUUUUAUUUUUAUGAGAUAUUUUUGGCCAUAUGCUUGAUACCACUAUAAGCCAAAUGUUAGCAGCCCGAUAUUGGAAGUUUUAUUAUUUAAAUUAAUUUAUAUAUUUUACCUUGUAUGUGAAGAUAAACAUUCUCUACUUGAGUUGAGUAAGAAUGGGAAUUGGCUUUAUAGCUUCCAAUCUUCUUUCCAGCCAAAAUGCAGGCAGUUAGUUAUUGAUACAUUUCUGUAAGUUAAUGAGUAUGCCUGGCAGUUGAUAAACUGCAAGAUCCUAACUAAACUCAAACUCACACAACAAAAGAAUGAAUUACUUCUUUUUCUUAUUAUUUAAAAAAGAAAAGAAAAGAAGCAAGAUCCUUCCUUUAGAUCAAUUUCUGUAAGUUAAUGAGUAUGCCUGGCAGUCGAUAAACUGCAAGAUCCUAACUAAACACAAGCUCACACAACAACAAUAAUAAAAAAAAAACAUAGAAGGAAGGAUCUUGCUUUUGUUUUCUUAAAUAAUAAGAAAAAGAAGUAAUUCAUUCUUUUUUCAUAUAUAACAAAGUUGAUUAUACUUGUGCUAAUCAGCAUGGUAACUGCACAUUAUUCAUUGGACUUCAUCAUUGCCAUCUAAAUUGUAUCUUGUUCCUUCUCUUUUUUCACUUUUGGAAGGCUUUUGGUGAACUCUUUUCAGGAUUGUGGUCAUGGUACUAUACAUUGAUAUUUUAGCGCUUUUUGUUUGGUUAAAUAGUUCCUUAUGGCCCUUUUGCCCCUCCCAUAUUAUUUAGUUAUGAUCUUCGUUCCUUCAAAUUGGGUUUUCUUGCAUAAUUUAUGGUUACUUUGUUUCUCCCAUGGUUAAUACAGUAAAUACCAGUAUAGUGCGAUUGUCAGCAGACUUCUCUGGCCAUUCCGCAACCUUAAAUAUCAUUUCGGAAGGAAUGCCACUCCUGGAUGCUCUUAUGAUUGUUACUCGCUCAUUACAUAAUUGCAGAGUUUUUGGAUACUACAGUGGGAUUCAAAAGCUAACGGCAUUAAUGAAAGGUAUUAGUAGUAUUACUCUCCUAGUGUAAUUUCUUUUUAUGAUGAGACAUUGUGAACUGGUGUUCAAAUAAUUUGAAUUGUUGCAAUUGUUAAACUUAUUUAAAAUCCACACGCCCCCAAUUGAUUGAAGAUUUCUUUUGCUUAUAAAACUAUAGGUUUUUAUAAUUGUUAUUUCAACCCCAAUCCACCUAAAUGAUUGAAAAUAACCCAUUCAAAUGACUAAAAUUGGAUUGGAUUUAUAAUUCGGCUGGUUUUUCAUUUGAUUGUGCAUAUAUUUUGAUUGGUUUAAAUGUGUGUGAUGCUGUAACAUAUGUUAUUAGGACCCUAUCCACCAAAUUUGUUGAUUUCUAUUUAAGUUUUAAUUGAUCUUGCAAAACAUUGCUAAUUUUACAUUGUGUUUUUUGUUAUUUUAGGGGCUGUUGUCCAGCUUAAAACAAUAAGCGGUGCACUUUCAGCUGAUGAAAAGUCAUCUAAUUCUACUAUGGAGUGGACUGGACUCUUGCAACAAAUACUUGUAUAUGUGGUGUCAAUAAUAUAUAGUUUCAUUGAUUUAAAUUCAAAUGUAUAUGAGAGAGGUCAGUUGUGCAGUAAUACUAUAGGUUUUGUUUCAAGGGGUUGUGCAUCACCAGUUGGCUCUUCUGGUAAGGUUCCUUCCAGUGAAAUAAGGUUACGAUGGCAUCAGAGGGCAGUUGUGUCUGUGAUGGAAGCUGGUGGACUUAAUUGGUUAGUAGGUAAGGUAGGCAAUUUUGUUUUUACUUGUUCUCUUAUCUUUCUUUUGGAUAGGAAAUUUUUAUUUAUAACUUAUAGUACAUCAUAUCUCGACUUGGUAAUACACAGUGAAAACUUGAGCCCCACUCUUAGAAACAAUAUGCUACAGUCUGGAGUCUGGACAUCUUCCAUAUAUGAUUUGGUUAUUUUGUAAAAAAAAUUUCAUUACUCUUCUUUACAUCAACUUUUCCUAGAGAGAAUUUAAUCUUAUCUUGAUGACCUGUUUUUUCUUUCUUCUUGUAAGUGUAUUUUUUUUAUGAUUAAAUACAUCAAAAGUGCUGAGUGUGUGCAUGUCCUUGCCAUUUGUUGUAAAGAUUCUUUCUAUUUUGUGUGCCUUCUUAAUUUCCAUAAUGUGUCUGUCUGUCUGUAUUUACAUUUGUAAACUUCUUAGAUGACCAAUGACUACUGUAUUUAUAAUCCACAGUUAGACUGAAAUAACAAAAACUUGUUAUUUGUCACAGUUCCAUCACUUCCACAAGAUUGUUUUCUCGUUUUCAUCUGUGUAUGGAUGUUAUACCUUCACUGUGUAGUUGGUCUUAGUUCCAUUAUUAUUAUUAUUUUUUUUUUUUUUGAGAAGAAUCUUAGUUCCAUUAUUUUGGAGAGAUUAUUUUCAUUCGGUCAUCUGUACAUGACACUUGAGCUUCAUUACGCAGUACAGCCUCAGAAGACGAAGGCAAUAAAUGCCUUUGGAACAAACCCACAAACCUCUGAUGAUCAAGUAAAAUCUGACCAUCAGAUUCCUUCACCUGGUCAAGCUUCCUCUUCAUUUUUGUAGCAUGGUCAUGUGCGAGUCUGUGCAACUGUUUAUUCUUAUGCUUGAGCCCUCUAAUCUCCUGCUUGAGACUCAUCACUUCAGCCGCCAAUGAUUCAACUUGGCGGGUUCGAGCAAAUAGGCGUUGGGCCAUAUUUAACACAGAACCUGCACACUGAACACUGAGAGCCAGAGAAUCCUUAACAGCCAACUCAUCAGACCGUUUGGAAAGAAGUAUGUUAUCUUUGGGAGUGAGAAUGUUCCUGGCCACCACCGCAGCGGUCAUAUCAUUCUUCAUCACGGAAUCCCCAACGGUAAGAGGACCAGUAGGGGAUAAGAAGGAUGGGCGCCAUAUGUUGUCUAGAGAAGGCGCGGCUGCCUCUUCACCAAGGUUCAAGUCAAAACGACGGUCGGAAAGGCCAGACAUUUUCAAAGGUGUUGAAGAGAGAAGAGGUCGGACAAAUCAAGAUCUUAGAAGUGCAAGAAGGGAGCUUCUACUGGUGGAGAUUCAAGUGUGCUUUGGAACUUAAUGCCAACCUCUAUAAAAAUCUGCACUCGACGGAGCUUCAGAAAUCGAAGAAGCGUCUGCUCAGAAAUCGAAGAGGCGUUUGCUUUCUUAAAAGCUGGGCUGCUCAGAGACCACGAGGGUCGAUCUCAGAGAUCGAAGAGGUGUUUGCUUUCUCAAAAGCUGGGCUGCUCAAAGACCACGAGGGCCGAUCUCAAAAAUCGAAGAGUCACAUGCACACUCAGCUUUGUCAGCACCUGUCACAUGCACACUCAGCUUUGUGGAAAUUACGGGCAAUCUGUCGAAGAUUUCUGGUGAAGUAGAAAGCACGUGAAUCUUACUGUUCAAUCAUCCACUUUCCACACGCAACAUCAGCUCAUGGGUACCACAGAUAACUUUGCCAAAGAUCUCUGACAAAGUUUAGACACGUGAAGCUUGCAGCUCCCACUACAUCGCUAUGACCAAGAAAGGUAAAAGAAUAGCAAAGAAACAACACUAACAAAGUUUAGACACAUAAAUUUUGAAGGUUUAGCUACCAUAUUAGUACCCACAAGGGUAAAGGAAUAGCACCACUGCUGGAUAAUUGGAAAGUCUCUAUGUGUCAACCGUUGUGCUCCGUGGCAAGGUAGACUAGCAAAAAUGCCCAACCUUUACUCACAUUCGAGAAAACACUCCCAACAAAAUUGCUUGCUCCAAAAUCGAAGAGGCACCGCCCUCCGAAUCUCGAGAGCCAGACUCCCAACAGGAUUACUUUCUCAAAAAUCGAAGAGACACCGCUCUCCGAAUUUCAAGAGCCAGACUCCCAACAAGAUUGCUUUCUCAAAAAUCAAAGUGGCACUGUUCUCCAAAUCUCGAGAGCCAGAUCCCCGACAGGAUCGCUUGUUCGAAAACCGAAGAGGCAUCGCUUUCUCAACUUUGAGAGCCAGAUCUCCUUGGAUAAAGCUUGUCUGUAAUCUUCACACGCAACAUCAGCUUUCCAGAUACCACAGACCACUUUUUCAAAGUGCUUUGACAGAGUUAAAACACGUGAAGCUGGCAGCUCCCACUACAGUGCUAUGACCAAGAAGGGUAAAGGAAUAGCAUUACUACUUGUUAGGGAGACUCCUAUAUAUGUCGACCUCCAUCCUCAACGGACAGGCAGACUUGCAAAAAUGCUUAACCCUUCCUCAUAUCUGAGAGGGCACUCCCAACGAAGCCUCUCGAAAUACUCAGCUUUCUUUCCCCCGAUAAUACCUCUGCAAACAAGCUACACCAGAGCAAGAAUAUCUCAUAUCAUCAGGGUUAAAAGCAAGAGUAUCCCAUAUCAUGCUUUUUCCCUGUCUUUUCCUUUGGCCUUGUUCUUACCUGCAUAACAAGGAGAAAGAGAGCAAUCAGUCAGCACUUGGAAUCAAGCUUCCAGUAAGGAAUUGACUACCUGGAACCCCUUACCUAAUUACUUACCUGGCAUUGCUCUCGAGUACUCAUCUUCAACAUCUUAUGCUUCCAGAGAAGAUACCACAUCUGCCUGAGGAACAGAUAGGGCAAGUGAGAAGGAUACAAGGAAGCAUGUGGAGACAAGCGUAACAGAACACGUGUCGAUACUUCCACUACUUUGUCAACACCAAAAGUAUCCCAUAUCAGCAGGGUCGAACGUACUCUAGAUUUGAUGGACUUGUUUUGACCCUCAAAUUCUUCAGUCGGCCUUAUACUCUGGAGGUAACCAGAAAACCCUGCAGCCCAGUUCAAGAAUAAGCCUGUGGAAAGUUACUUCUUCAAAAGCAAAAGUAUCUCAUAUCAUCUCUUCUCCUUUUCUUCUCUUUAUCCUUCAUGCUGCCUACAAGAUAAGGAGAAUGAGAACAAUUAGCCGGAACUCGAAAUCAAACUUCUGAUCUGGGACUGAUUGCUUGGAGCUCUGAUUGCUUACCUUGUCUGUCACCUCUUUCAGCAGAUCCCCUAGCUCGGCGACUUGGGAGACUCCUACUACAUAGUUUGUAUCGCGCUUGACCAAGCCUGAAACUACAAGUAAGCUUUAAGUGAAAUUGAUACAUUACCUUGUGCAUCUCCACCAGUUAAAGAUACCACCCCUGGACGGAGGAAGAGUACUUCCAGAGAAGAUGCCACAUCUACCUAUGAGUCAGAUAAGGCAAGUGAAGACGAUACUACACUUCGGUACUUAGAAGUUUUAUGAUUACUCAGCGGCUUGGAUCUUGCAAGUCCCCAACCGAGGAGCUUCCCUCCAACCAGGAGGCCAAUCACAGAGCGACACGUGUCCACAUCAGAAGCCAAUCAUAGUACGACACGUGUCAACAUCGGAAGCCAAUCACAACACGACACGUGUCAAUGUCAGAACAAGGCUAGAAACUCUCUUCUAUAAAAGGAGAUCAUUCUCCCAAAAUAUUUCCUAAUGUCAUUUGUACUAAAUCAUUCACUUGUACCCACUAAAGGAGAGCUUGAACCUAUGUACUUGUGUAAACCCUUCACAAUUAAUGAGAACUCCUCUACUCCGUGGACGUAGCCAAUCUGGGUGAACCACGUACAUCUUGUGUUUGCUCUCCUGUCUCUAUCCUUUUACAUACUUAUCCACACUAAUGACCGGAGCAAUCUAGCGAAGGUCACAAACUUAAUACUUUUUGUUGUACCAAAGUCCUCACUGAUUUUGUGCAUCAACAAUCCUUAAGUCCUUACCUUUUUGCAUGGGUAAUGGAUGAGUUAACAGGACAUAUUCAAGAUGUUAUUCCUUGGUGUAUGCUUUACGCAGACGAUAUAGGGUUGAUAGAUGAAACUCAGGAAGAGGUAAAUGCGAAGCUUAACCUUUGGAGAGAAGUGUUGGAAUCUAAAGGUCUUCGCCUAAGCCGAUCAAAGACAGAAUAUAUGGAAUACAAGCAGGAUGGAUGAAGUGGAAGAGUGCAUCCGGCAUGUGUGUGACCGUCGUAUGCCACUGAAGUUCAAGGGAAAAUUUCAUAGGACGGCAAUAAGGUCGGCGAUGCUGUAUGGCACAGAAUGUUGGGCGGUGAAGCAUCAACACGUACACAAAAUGGGUGUAGCGGAGAUGAGGAUGCUUCGUUGGAGGUGUGGGCUCACGAGAAAGAAUAAGAUUAGGAAUGAGUGGGUUGGACAUGUGCAAAGAAGGCCUACUGACGCUCCAGUUCGAAGAUGUGACUACGGGACAGAGGUUCAGGGUCGAAGGGGUAGAGGAAGACCUAGGAAAACUUUGGAAGAGACCCUAAGAAAAGACUUAGAGUACUUGGAUCUAACGAAGGACAUGACACAAAACCGAGCGCA
rnacentral:lncRNA from 1 species